rnacentral:lncRNA from 1 species
GUUCUGGAAGCUAGAAGUCUCCUCAAGGUGCCAUUAGGAUUAGUUUCUGGGGCCCACAGCCACUCCACUGUGACAGCGGAGAAAGCCAGCCUUCUCAGAGCCAUGCCUACAGACCUGGGACGGAUGGGAGAUCCUUUGAGGAAGAGAAUUCCGUACUGCCAAAGUUUUUGUGGGACAGGAAUUGCAAGUGGCUCACCUGGGCUUCAGGCAAGCUGUUGGCUGGGGCUGGCUAAACAACAUACAAAGAUGUGCUUCCAGGCUCACUCAAGUGGUUGCUGCAGGCUUCUGUCCUUGCUGGCCAUGGGUGUCUCCUCAGUUCCUCACCACCAUGCAGGCCUCUUGCGGGCUGCCUGUAUAUCCUCAGGACGCGGUGGCUGGCUUCCCCCAGAGUGUGUGACUGAGCCAGAGCCAAGAUGGAAGCCACAGAGUUUUUUUUUUUUUAGCUUUAGUGAGGUAUAAAUGACAAAUUAAAAUUGUAGAUAUUUAAGGAGUACAACUUGAUGUUAUGAUAUAUGUAUACAUUGUGAAGCGAUCACCACAAUCAAGCUAAUUAACAUCACCUCACAUAGUUACCUUGUGUGUGUGUGUGUGUGUGGCGAGAACACUUAAGAUUUACCCUUUAGCAAAUGUCAAAUAUACAACACGGUGUUGUUAACUACAGUCACCAUGCUUGUACAUUUGAUCUCCAGAACUUGCUCGUCUUGUAUAACUGAAACUUUGAACUCUUUGAAGAACCUCCACCUGUCCCCCACCCUAGCCCUUGG